GCUUGUCUCAAAGAUUAAGCCAUGCAUGUCUAAGUAUAAACGACUUUAUACUGUGAAACUGCGAAUGGCUCAUUAUAUCAGUUAUAGUUUAUUUGAUGGUCCUUGCUACUUGGAUAACCGUAGUAAUUCUAGAGCUAAUACAUGCAUUAAACCCCGACUUCUGGAAGGGGUGUAUUUAUUAGAUGGAAACCAAUGCGGGGCAACCCGGUUCUUGGUGAAUCAGAAUAACUGAACGGAUCGCAUGGCCUUGUGCCGGCGAUGAAUCAUUCAAAUUUCUGCCCUAUCAACUUUCGAUGGUAAGGUAUUGGCUUACCAUGGUUACAACGGGUAACGGGGAAUUAGGGUUCGAUUCCGGAGAGGGGGCCUGAGAAAUGGCCACCACUUCCAAGGAAGGCAGCAGG
rnacentral:rRNA from 1 species